rnacentral:rRNA from 1 species
ACUAAGCAUAUCAAUAAGCGGAGGAAAAGAAACCAACAGGGAUUGCCCUAGUAACGGCGAGUGAAGCGGCAACAGCUCAAAUUUGAAAUCUGGCUCUUUCAGAGUCCGAGUUGUAAUUUGCAGAGGGCGCUUUGGCUUUGGCAGCGGUCCAAGUUCCUUGGAACAGGACGUCACAGAGGGUGAGAAUCCCGUACGUGGUCGCUAGCUAUUGCCGUGUAAAGCCCCUUCGACGAGUCGAGUUGUUUGGGAAUGCAGCUCUAAAUGGGAGGUAAAUUUCUUCUAAAGCUAAAUAUUGGCCAGAGACCGAUAGCGCACAAGUAGAGUGAUCGAAAGAUGAAAAGCACUUUGGAAAGAGAGUCAAACAGCACGUGAAAUUGUUGAAAGGGAAGCGCUUGCAGCCAGACUUGCUUGCAGUUGCUCAUCCGGGCUUUUGCCCGGUGCACUCUUCUGUAGGCAGGCCAGCAUCAGUUUGGGCGGUGGGAUAAAGGUCUCUGUCACGUACCUCUCUUCGGGGAGGCCUUAUAGGGGAGACGACAUACCACCAGCCUAGACUGAGGUCCGCGCAUCUGCUAGGAUGCUGGCGUAAUGGCUGUAAGCGGCCCGUCUUGAAACACGGACCAAGGAGUCUAACAUCUAUGCGAGUGUUUGGGUGUCAAGCCCGAGCGCGUAAUGAAAGUGAACGGAGGUGGGAACCCGCAAGGGUGCACCAUCGACCGAUCCUGAAGUUUACGGAAGGAUUUGAGUAAGAGCAUGGCUGUUGGGACCCGAAAGAUGGUGAACUAUGCUUGAAUAGGGUGAAGCCAGAGGAAACUCUGGUGGAGGCUCGCAGCGGUUCUGACGUGCAAAUCGAUCGUCAAAUUUGGGCAUAGGGGCGAAAGACUAAUCGAACUAUCUAGUAGCUGGUUCCUGCCGAAGUUCCCCUCAGGAAAAA